rnacentral:rRNA from 1 species
AGAGUUUGAUCCUGGCUCAGAGCGAACGCUGGCGGCAGGCCUAACACAUGCAAGUCGAGCGCCGUAGCAAUACGGAGCGGCAGACGGGUGAGUAACGCGUGGGAACGUGCCCUUCGGUUCGGAAUAACUCAGGGAAACUUGAGCUAAUACCGGAUACGUCCGAAAGGAGAAAGAUUUAUCGCCGAAGGAUCGGCCCGCGUAAGAUUAGCUAGUUGGUGAGGUAACGGCUCACCAAGGCUCUGAUCUUUAGCUGGUCUGAGAGGACGAUCAGCCACACUGGGACUGAGACACGGCCCAGACUCCUACGGGAGGCAGCAGUGGGGAAUAUUGGACAAUGGGCGCAAGCCUGAUCCAGCCAUGCCGCGUGAGUGAUGAAGGCCUUAGGGUUGUAAAGCUCUUUUGGCAGGGACGAUAAUGACUGUACCUGCAGAAUAAGCCCCGGCCAACUUCGUGCCAGCAGCCGCGGUAAUACGAAGGGGGCUAGCGUUGCUCGGAAUCACUGGGCGUAAAGCGCACGUAGGCGGGUCGUUAAGUCGGGGGUGAAAUCCUGGAGCUCAACUCCAGAACUGCCUUCGAUACUGGCGAUCUUGGAGUCCGGGAGAGGUGGGUGGAACUGCGAGUGUAGAGGUGAAAUUCGUAGAUAUUCGCAAGAACACCAGUGGCGAAGGCGGCUCACUGGCCCGGUACUGACGCUGAGGUGCGAAAGCGUGGGGAGCAAACAGGAUUAGAUACCCCGGUAGUCC